CAACUAAAAGACAUUGGUCAUGGAUAAGUAGUAUCCACACUCACACUAACGAGACGAGACGUUUGAGACGAAAGUUGAGAAAAGACCUCAGUACUUUGAGAAGGUCAUCGACCUUUCGAUUUAUCCUUCCAACGUAAUCUAAAAAGCAAUCUGUGAACGGAAAAAAUCUCUUGCAAUUGUGUAUGUAAACAAAUAGUCAACUACCACUUAACUAUUAAAAAAAAUUCUAUCUAUAUUGACACUGUACCGUGACUACAAAAGAACCAAGAAACGGCGUCUAGGAUGAAAUCGCUUUUCACUGACCACGGUGGUAAAGCCAUAUUCACUAAGCAAAACCAACUAAGUACCAGUCGAAACGGGGUUUGACGACGAGGAAAAGGAGCUUGGAUACAGAGAAUUCAAGCCCCCUAGUAGUACAAGCCUAAGGUCUUCCAGUGGGGUAGUAACACGUUGGUUUUGCUACCCGCGACAACCUCUAGUAUAACGGUUAACGGCGCCGUCGAUCACCUCACUAGUUACUAUUCCUUCCACUAAAACUACCGGUUAAGUGUCAUCUCUAAGUAGUGUUUCCUAAGAAGAGACCUUGACUGUUGUUAUCCUCGAUGUAACUGAUACUUCAACUAACCAAGCUAGUAACACUAACACUGUGAACCAGAUAUGACACCUAACUUCUGAAACACUUCGUCGACCCGAUACUAGCUCUCUGUACCGUCGUACUACAUAUGACCACAGAUGGACCUUUCUGUUAAUUACUUCCUUACUCUCUCUACUUCACACUACGACUAUCGGAACGUUACUAUCGUCGAUCGUGUCAUGUGUUCUUAAACAACGACGAGCAUCUGGUACCUCUCUGUCACUUGUUGGAAGAAUGUCUACUACAAUGUCAACUACGUGACGGACUCAACGGUUUCCAGUAUUGGGGUUUUUUUCUACCGUUCCCGUUUCUUGUUCGAUCGAGUUGACUUCACUCUUCAUCUCGUUCCUCUAACAAAUGACUUCGUUGUAGAAGUCCUAUACGACUACUUCUUUACCUCCUUCUUCCACUUUUCCCACGCCGCCUAAGUCUUUGUCUACUCCUUAAGAUACUGUCACUGAUACUAUAAUACCUACCCCUACUACUAAACAUACUCCUUGUACAACUGUUUCUCCACCUGCUAGUAUCUCUUUUUCAAAUAUGUACACUGAUACUUUGUCUCGAUCGUCUUCUACGAGAUCUACUAGGAUGGUAUUACAAUAGGUUUCUUCUCUCCCUGUUCGAGUUCAUGUUGAAGUUCCCAAAGUUGGGUCUUUGACUAAACUUACGGGGACAUAAGUCUAAUCCAUACCACAAACCAUGACAACUCCUCGACUCCGCACGAUAAUGGAGAAUAUCGUAGUCUUUGUCUCAACGUUAAUUUUUCUGGUCUUUGUGUAGUUGAUGUCAUCUUCGUCUUACGUAACUACUAACGGGUACCAUGAACUUUCGUCCCUACCUGUUGUCCUUUUUAUCGAAACACUAGUUCUUUAUGACACUAGUCGUGUGCACAGGAUUCUGUACCUUCGACUUCCCAGAUUGACGAGGUAAAAAUUGGUUUUUUAAGUCUCUACUCAAGUCCCCGUUACUUUUCUACGGUAACGUCUUUAAGCUCCUCUUCCAAGUCGUCCUCAUGUUAGAUUAAGGUUCAUCCUCGUUUAACCCUUCCCGAUCUUCUCGUAGUCAUUUCGUCUAGUCUCCACUCCUACUACUGGUCAUAUUCUACAAUACCCUAAUACCUCUCCUUAACUCCGUUUGUUUGGGACCGUCGUUCAAGAUGGAAACGUGUUUCCUCUAAAAACUACUUUUCUGGUUCCUCUGUUUCCUUGUAAAAAGUUGAAACAUGACCAGUAACCUACGUACGUUCUCUCCGACCAACUACCCCACAUCCGGUUAUUAUAAACAUCUACCUACAGUGUAAUUCUGGUCCAUGUUUCCCUUAAAUGACUGUCGACACCCAUAACUGGGGUUACUAACAUAAAAGGGGUAUCGUAAACCCUAACACCUUCACCUCAGGUGAUCGUCGACCCUCACCAAAAACCGAUCGGAUUUCCUACUAGAGUUAUAUACGUUGUGGAGAGGUAUGUGUUAGUACUCACUAUUCGUCUUCCCAGAAUAUCGACGUCAACGUUUCCACACCGGUCUGCGACUUGUGUCCAAAACACAGUCCGUAUACAUAGUUUUAAAGGUGUUCGAAGUGUUCCCCCUUGUUGAUUUCUUGUUAUACACCCGGUAACGUUCCCGAUGUCUGUGAGGUUGUAUGUUGUUUCGUUACCUCUUCUACUUCCGUCUGUCACACGGACGUAUGCUUACCCAACUCUUUACCGGUGGUUCUUGUACCUAAUUUCGAAAAAAAUUAGGAAAAGGUUUCACACUGUAGGACGAUUUAUUGUACAGACUUCAUAAAUUGUCAACCUAAAACGGUCGGUCUCUUGAAGGAUAAAUGAGCUACCAACUUUUGUAUUUGUCGUUCUAGUGUCGUUCCUAUAUGUCGUUCGUCUACCUUCAACGUCUUCUAUCCUUUACCUCAUACUCUAACACGGGUUUUUAAGUCUUUUUUAACCUGUUCAUGUGACUAACCCGACGUUUGACGUACCAGAAACCUCGACCAGUCUUCCAAAAGUUCCAACACAGUUACUUGGUGAGGAUGUAUCACCUGAACCUUUACCUUUGGACAUUGACGUUCUCUACCCUGAACAGACCGUAAGGUACAGUGGUACGAUAACGAACACGAUCUUUACUCUCUUAACUGGGACGUUCGGAUCACGUACUAACAAUAAGUCAUCCCUGUAUGUUUUCCCGAAUACGAAAAUUACAUUUUGGUCACUCCCUGGUCCUUGUAACCUGAUUCUACGUACCGUAACGACAUAUAGGUGGUCACAUGUGAUUCCAUUACCCCUCUGGUUCCUCCUUAUCUUUCUUUCUAGGUCUCCUCUUCAACUACUUUCUUCCUCCCUUUUUCAACUGUUUCGUACCACAUUGGUACGUGACGAGGGAAACACCUUCACGUCUGGUGUUGUUCUUUCCUGUGUUCUUCACCCUCCUCUGGUGUUCUCUACGAGGAGUUGGACGUUUACAACGUCUACUACUUCUUCUUCUCAUACUACUAGGAUGUUAGUAAAGAUUGUAUGACGGUGUGUGUCAGGUAGGUGUGUACCUAGGUUCAGUUUGGGGUCCCAGGUACCAAAAGGAGUACGUCGUUUACCUCUCCUCUCGCAUGGUUGGUUCAUACCUAGUACCUGGAGAAGGUCUUAGUUGUAAACAACGUGUUCGUUCUUUACUGUAUGGGGGAGGAUCCCAAUGCUGACGAUACAGUUCUCCAUCCCAAUCUUCUUCUCCUCAGUGACUUCUGUAAGGUCUUCUACAUGGUGUCAGUUCGUUGGUUCGACCUUAAAGUUCUCCUUCUUUCUCUUCUAGGUGACCUCGACCACCUCGUCGUCGACCGUCCCCUCCGUCUCCUAGAUCUCUUCGUUGACCAUCCCCUCCUUCUCCAAAACCUCGAUCACCUCGUAGAUCGUCCCCUCCGUCCCCUCGAUCCCCUCGCCGACCGUCCUCUCCAUCUCCUAGACAUGUCGUCUGUUCGUUGGUUCGUCGACCUUCUCCUCGUCCCCUUCGUAUAUGACCUGGUCCACGACUCCUUCGUAUAUGACCUGGUCCACGACCCAAGACCUUGGAAUACAAACCUGGUUUAAGUCUCUCAAGGAUACACGUUCGUCUUCUCCUCGGUCACUGGGUUUUACGUGGUUUACUUCUCACCUAACUACUAAAGGUUUGGAACAUCUAGGGUUACGGUUGGCUUAAUCAAGUACUCACUUGACUUGAUCUACCUUCACGUUCAAGUAUAUACUUGAAAACAAGUAGUCUGUUCAGUAUUCUGAUUAAAGGGUAAACAAAUACGACAUUACACUCUUAGACUUGUACACAAUACGACGAUAAAUUCACGUGGACAUACGUGACUAGGCUCCAACGAUACGAGUAUUUUACGUCAAAAGUACAACAAGGUAGAGUACGAAAAGAUACUUAAAU
rnacentral:rRNA from 1 species